GAUGAAGAACGUAGCGAAAUGCGAUAACUAGUGUGAAUUGCAGAAUUCCGUGAAUCAUCGAGUCUUUGAACGCACAUUGCGCCCCCUGGUAUUCCGGGGGGCAUGCCUGUCCGAGCGUCAUUGCUGCCCAUCAAGCACGGCUUGUGUGUUGGGUCGUCGUCCCCCCCUCCGGGGGGGGGACGGGCCCUAAAGGCAGCGGCGGCACCGCGUCCGAUCCUCGAGCGUAUGGGGCUUUGUCACCCGCUCUGUAGGCCCGGCCGGCGCUUGCCGAACGCAAAACAACCAUUCUUUCCAGGUUGACCUCGGAUCAGGUAGGGAUACCCGCUGAACUUAAGCAUAUCAAUAAGCGGAGGA
rnacentral:misc_RNA from 1 species